UACAGAGGUCCCAAGCGUUGUUCGGAUUUAUUGGGCGUAAAGGGUGCGUAGGCGGCGGAGUAAGUUGGGUGUGAAAUCCCGGGGCUCAACCUCGGAAUUGCAUUCAAUACUGCUUCGCUCGAGUACUGGAGAGGAGACUGGAAUUUACGGUGUAGCAGUGAAAUGCGUAGAUAUCGUAAGGAAGGCCGGUGGCGAAAGCGAGUCUCUGGACAGUUACUGACGCUGAUGCACGAAGGCCAGGAGAGCAAACGGG
rnacentral:rRNA from 1 species